rnacentral:lncRNA from 1 species
ACCGUCGGCCCCGCCCCGCCCCAGGAGCCGCCCGAACUGGGCCCCCUGCACCCGAGGGCCAAGGACGCGGGGUCCCCACUCCCGGCCACCCACUGGGACCGACCGAACUGGAAGACACCUCCUGCGGGCUCCUCCAGGGCGGACCCUGCAAGAGCUCAGGAACCAAUGUGUGAAAGUGGUUCUUGAGUGGUGUUGGGUCUGGACCACCGAGGUCUGGGGAGAGGCCCCACACGUGGGUCCCAUGACUGCAGCCUGAACCAAGCCGGAAAAUGCCAAGGUCAAAGAGCGUAUGUGAGACUGUACACUCGAGAGAUGCCCCCAGACUGCAGAGCCAGCUGCCCGCAGCCUUCCCCCAGGGUGCCGACACUCUAGAUUAGUGCAAGAAUCAAGGGCAUCAUUAAGAAAAAACAAAACCAGAAAACCUUCAGCCGCGGUUUUAUCAGCGAAACCAGGCCAUGGGGCAAGAUGUUUGCUUGCUUUUCUUUCUUUCUUUCUUCCUUCCUUCCUUUCUUUCUUUCUUUCUUUCUUUCUUUCUUUCUUUCUUUCUUUCCAUUUAUUUGUUUCGUGUGUGUAUGCCUGUGGCCCUAUGGUUGCCACAGCGCACGUGUGGAGGUCACACAACUUGGGGAGUUGGUUCUCUUUUCACUACAUUGGGGGAUGGAACUUGGGUAGUCAGGCUUAGCUCACGCAUCUUUUUACUCACUGAGCUGUCCUGCGGGCCCGUGUGAUGCUUUCCUGCAUUCCAGUCUUAGAAAUAAAUGUUCUCUCCUAGGUCAGUAAUAAAAGAUAAAAGUAAGAAUGUCUUGAAAAGGCUUUGUGCACUAGUGGCUAAAAGCAAAAGAUGAAAACAUGCUCGUUUUCUUGUGGGCAUCCAGUACUUUUAUUUAUGACACUUUAUCACAUUUUGUAAUGAUGUAUUUGCAAGUAUGAGUGCUAGCACACAGUAUUGAGAACUCUUGGAUCAUACUACCUAGCUCUCGGAUGUCUGGAAAAUCAUUGACCUCAGGCAUUCUGCAGUUCAUGAAAUCUGUCUGGGCCUUAUUUGAGAACUGGAAAUAAUAGUGCAGUAUACUUCAUAGGGCUGUGAGCAUUUACUGGGUUAAAUCAUGUAUAAUAUUAGAGUAACCCUCAGUACCUUAUUCAAACAGUGUUUGCAGCUAUUGUGUAGUAUUUUUCUUCCCACUAAACUGUGCACUCCAAAGGAACCCCUGGGUACUUCGCUCCAGGCUCAGUGUUCAUAGAACGGCUCUGUCUCCAAUAUUACAACUUUAUGGGACAGAGUCAAGUAAAAGCCACUCUGGAGGAGCAAUGUGCAGGGCAAUUUCCCGAUGCCCCCCCCCCCCCCCCCCGCGCAGCUGUACCCCAAGUCAGAGGCCAUUCCCCACUGGGCAGAAGGGAGCUCAGCCAACUGCUGCCUCUCAGUCUUGAUUACAGCAGGGUGCCCACUGGGAAUCCAGCCUCCUCUGUCAGCAGGCCAGUGCUGCCAGGGGAGGCAACUGAGAGGUACUCUGGCCUCCCAAGCUUCAGUGGGGUGGGAAGAGCACAAAGGGAGGACUUACCCCACAGCCCAGGGAGCAAAGUGUGUGUGGGGGGGUGGGGGUUGGAGAUUAGGGGGAAGUGGGGGAAGAAAGCCCUGACUGAUUACCUGAGAGGAGAGAACCAAGGAAAGAGCUGAGGUGACAGGGGCACUGUGUACUCCACCCUUCCACAUGGCAACAGGAAGUUAAGUGGAGGGGACAAGGCCACUUCCUACCUCAAAGCAGCAGGUCCCAAGUCUCAGCCCGGUUGGGUAAGGAGGUUGUAAAAUCAGGGAUGCCAGUAAGUCUUCAUUUUCUCUCAUCCAUCCUUGCUGCAGAAGCGGCUGCUAGUUGCGCUCCAGAAAUGGAGGCAGCAGCCAGCGUGUCAUUUUUUCACCAGUGUGCCCUUCCUGAGGGCUGGAGGCAGCUUGGGUCCUGACCUCCAGACGCUGAUACUUGAACCUCACAUAUUCAUUAACAGAAGAUGGAGUGAGGAGUGGGGAGAGGUCACAAGCAUAGACUAGGGGUAAAAUGGGGUCUCUUAGGGAUACCCUAGGGGGAAAGGUCAAAGCAGGGUUACAACCUGACUGGCCCAACGUGCCUGCUGUGACCCGUUUGUCAUCCCGCCUACAGGAUCUACACUGGAUGCUUCAGGAUAACCAUCUAAAGCAUCGCGUGUCUCUGGGUGAAAUGGAAAAUGACGUAGGAAAAUAUUGGGUGAAAUCUUGGAAAUGACUCAUACUACCAUGUAAAUGGAGCCACCCAUUUUUCAACAACUGUUCAUCAACUACCUCCUAUCUGCUCGUCACUGCCUUUUAGCGGAAUGUCCUAAUAAAGUGGAGAUUUAUAAUUUAUACAA